UGAUUACAAGGCGAGUUGAACUUCGGAACAAGACAAAUAACGGAAUAUGAUAACUCUUCGAGUCCGCAACGACGUUGAAGGAGAUACUGUAGAGCACCAAGCAAGGUUGAACAUUAUCCCCCGUAGUCAAACGCGAAGGUUGAUGAUACUACAAAGUAGUAUUGCUGGAGUAGGUGGACGGUAGCUCGCUCGAGAUUAGCUGGAGAGUUUCCGUAUUUAGUUUGAAAUUUGGUAAUGAGUCAAUGCUCUGGUCAUGUAACACUGGGUAGAUUAGUGGUAUUGAACUCAUAUCUUAUUUGAUAUGCUUUAUGUCAUUAAUUGUUUUAUUUUAUUUGGAGUGAUUAUGGAGAGAUGAUCAUGGUAUGGGACAUGGAUCAUAUUCUGAAAUACAUGAGUAUUCUUUAUUUUCCGCUGCGAACGCAUAUGUUUGAAUAUUCAUGAUGAGUGAAAUGUGUUAUUUUGAAUGACCAGGUGUAUUGUUGGUUUUUGAAAGUUUUAAGUUUCGAAAACGUCGUUGUGACGCCAUUUUCUUUA